CGGAAUGAAUUCACUGGAGGUCAGCCUUUUGACUGGGAAAGCGUUCUCAAUGUCCCGGAUGAGCUUUCCAGCCUUGAAACUUUUCUGGAUGGAAUAGCUGAAAAUUUUAAUGGGGAUGUUAGUGCUUGUGAACAUUUUAACAACCUCUGAUGCCGGUACGUAACAUGAUCCCAUUCAUGGUUGCUGUUUGCUGGAUUAUCUGAGUCUGAAGUCUCACUCUGGUGGCGUCAUCCCAAAUCCAAGAAAAAUGCUUCUCUGUUGGAUGCGUCUUUGUUCUCUUUGAUUCUACCUGUUUUCCUAAAAGUGUAGUUUUAUUUUGUUUUCAACUCAGGAUUUCAGUCCUUGUUUGCUUUAAAUUCCAUCUGUCUGUUUGUUUAAAUAAGGGUAAUCUUCCAAGUGCUACGGUUUGUAACAAAUUCAGGAUUUCAGCCCAAAUUCACGUGUGUGCAACCUGGUAUGUAUAAGAGUUUCUACCCUUUCCUAAAGGGCAGACUUU